rnacentral:tRNA from 13 species
CAACUGACUUUUAAUCAGUGGGUCGCAGGUUCGAAUCCUGCACG